GAUGAACGCUGGCGGCGUGCUUAACACAUGCAAGUCGAACGGAAAGGCCCAAGCUUGCUUGGGUACUCGAGUGGCGAACGGGUGAGUAACACGUGGGUGAUCUGCCCUGCACUUCGGGAUAAGCCUGGGAAACUGGGUCUAAUACCGGAUAGGACGAUGGUUUGGAUGCCAUUGUGGAAAGUUUUUUCGGUGUGGGAUGAGCUCGCGGCCUAUCAGCUUGUUGGUGGGGUAAUGGCCUACCAAGGCGUCGACGGGUAGCCGGCCUGAGAGGGUGUACGGCCACAUUGGGACUGAGAUACGGCCCAGACUCCUACGGGAGGCAGAAGUGGGGAAUAUUGCACAAUGGGCGCAAGCCUGAUGCAGCGACGCCGCGUGGGGGAUGACGGCAUUCGGGUUGUAAACUCCUUUCGCUAGGGACGAAGCGUUUUUGUGACGGUACCUGGAGAAGAAGCACCGGCUAACUACGUG
rnacentral:rRNA from 1 species